UGAGGAAUAUUGGGCAAUGCCCGAAAGGGUGACCCAGCAACGCCGCGUGGAGGAUGAAGGUCGUAAGAUUGUAAACUCCUGUUAGAGGGGAAGAAUAACUAAGUUUGGAGCUUAGUAUGACUGUACCCUCAGAGAAAGCCCCGGCUAACUACGUGCCAGCAGCCGCGGUAAUACGUAGGGGGCAAGCGUUGUCCGGAUUUACUGGGUGUAAAGGGCGCGCAGGCGGAAUGGAAAGUCAGUGGUGAAAUCCUACAGCUUAACUGUAGAACUGUCUUUGAUACUUUCAUUCUUGAGUUCGGGAGAGAGAGACGGAAUUCCAGGUGUAGUGGUGAAAUACGUAGAUAUCUGGAAGAACACCAGUUGCGAAGGCGGUCUCUUGGUCCGAUACUGACGCUGAGGCGCGAAAGCGUGGGGAGCAAACA
rnacentral:rRNA from 1 species